GGUGAGUAACACGUGGGUAACCUGCCUGUAAGACUGGGAUAACUCCGGGAAACCGGGGCUAAUACUGGAUGGUUGUUUGAACCGCAUGGUUCAAACAUAAAAGGUGGCUUCGGCUACCACUUACAGAUGGACCCGCGGCGCAUUAGCUAGUUGGUGAGGUAACGGCUCACCAAGGCGACGAUGCGUAGCCGACCUGAGAGGGUGAUCGGCCACACUGGGACUGAGACACGGCCCAGACUCCUGCGGGAGGCAGCAGUAGGGAAUCUUCCGCAAUGGACGAAAGUCUGACGGAGCAACGCCGCGUGAGUGAUGAAGGUUUUCGGAUCGUAAAGCUCUGUUGUUAGGGAAGAACAAGUACCGUUCGAAUAGGGGGGGNNCCUNUGGGGGUACCUAACCAGAAAGCCACGGCUAACUACGUGCCAGCAGCCGCGGUAAUACGUAGGUGGCAAGCGUUGUCCGGAAUUAUUGGGCGUAAAGGGCUCGCAGGCGGUUUCUUAAGUCUGAUGUGAAAGCCCCCGGCUCAACCGGGGAGGGUCAUUGGAAACUGGGGAACUUGAGUGCANAAGANGAGAGUGGAAUUCCACGUGUAGCGGUGAAAUGCGUANAGAUGUGGAGGAACACCAGUGGCGAANGCNACUCUCUGGUCUGUAACUGACGCUGANGAGCGAAAGCGUGGGGAGCGAACAGGAUUANAUACCCUGGUAGUCCACGCC
rnacentral:rRNA from 1 species